AUUUGAGUAGUUUAUAUAAAAUAUAGGUUUGUGGUUCCUAAGAAGUUUAAUUUUCCUUAGAUU
rnacentral:tRNA from 1 species